rnacentral:rRNA from 1 species
CGGAUUCUGGCUCAGAUUGAACGCUGGCGGCAGGCCUAACACAUGCGAGUCGAGCGGAUGAGUGGAGCUUGCUCCAUGAUUCAGCGGCGGACGGGUGAGUAAUGCCUAGGAAUCUGCCUGGUAGUGGGGGACAACGUUUCGAAAGGAACGCUAAUACCGCAUACGUCCUACGGGAGAAAGUGGGGGAUCUUCGGACCUCACGCUAUCAGAUGAGCCUAGGUCGGAUUAGCUAGUUGGCGAGGUAAAGGCUCACCAAGGCGACGAUCCGUAACUGGUCUGAGAGGAUGAUCAGUCACACUGGAACUGAGACACGGUCCAGACUCCUACGGGAGGCAGCAGUGGGGAAUAUUGGACAAUGGGCGAAAGCCUGAUCCAGCCAUGCCGCGUGUGUGAAGAAGGUCUUCGGAUUGUAAAGCACUUUAAGUUGGGAGGAAGGGCAGUAAGUUAAUACCUUGCUGUUUUGACGUUACCGACAGAAUAAGCACCGGCUAACUUCGUGCCAGCAGCCGC